GAUCUGGCUCAGGAUGAACGCUAGCUACAGGCUUAACACAUGCAAGUCGAGGGGCAGCAUGGUCUUAGCUUGCUAAGGCCGAUGGCGACCGGCGCACGGGUGAGUAACACGUAUCCAACCUGCCGUCUACUCUUGGACAGCCUUCUGAAAGGAAGAUUAAUACAAGAUGGCAUCAUGAGUCCACAUGUUCACAUGAUUAAAGGUAUUCCGGUAGACGAUGGGGA
rnacentral:rRNA from 1 species